rnacentral:rRNA from 1 species
GACGAACGCUGGCGGCGUGCUUAACACAUGCAAGUCGAACGGAAAGGCCCUUCGGGGUACUCGAGUGGCGAACGGGUAAGUAACACGUGGGUGAUCUGCCCUGCACUUUGGGAUAAGCCUGGGAAACUGGGUCUAAUACCGAAUAGGACCGCGCUCUUCAUGGGGUGUGGUGGAAAGCUUUUGCGGUGUGGGAUGGGCCCGCGGCCUAUCAGCUUGUUGGUGGGGUAAUGGCCUACCAAGGCGACGACGGGUAGCCGGCCUGAGAGGGUGACCGGCCACACUGGGACUGAGAUACGGCCCAGACUCCUACGGGAGGCAGCAGUGGGGAAUAUUGCACAAUGGGCGCAAGCCUGAUGCAGCGACGCCGCGUGAGGGAUGACGGCCUUCGGGUUGUAAACCUCUUUCAGUACCGACGAAGCGCAAGUGACGGUAGGUACAGAAGAAGGACCGGCCAACUACGUGCCAGCAGCCGCGGUAAUACGUAGGGUCCGAGCGUUGUCCGGGAUUACUGGGCGUAAAGAGCUCGUAGGUGGUUUGUCGCGUUGUUCGUGAAAACUCACAGCUUAACUGUGGGCGUGCGGGCGAUACGGGCAGACUAGAGUACUGCAGGGGAGACUGGAAUUCCUGGUGUAGCGGUGGAAUGCGCAGAUAUCAGGAGGAACACCGGUGGCGAAGGCGGGUCUCUGGGCAGUAACUGACGCUGAGGAGCGAAAGCGUGGGGAGCGAACAGGAUUAGAUACCCUGGUAGUCCACGCCGUAAACGGUGGGUACUAGGUGUGGGUUUCCUUCCUUGGGAUCCGUGCCGUAGCUAACGCAUUAAGUACCCCGCCUGGGGAGUACGGCCGCAAGGCUAAAACUCAAAGGAAUUGACGGGGGCCCGCACAAGCGGCGGAGCAUGUGGAUUAAUUCGAUGCAACGCGAAGAACCUUACCUGGGUUUGACAUGCACAGGACGUGCCUAGAGAUAGGUAUUCCCUUGUGGCCUGUGUGCAGGUGGUGCAUGGCUGUCGUCAGCUCGUGUCGUGAGAUGUUGGGUUAAGUCCCGCAACGAGCGCAACCCUUGUCUCAUGUUGCCAGCACGUUAUGGUGGGGACUCGUGAGAGACUGCCGGGGUCAACUCGGAGGAAGGUGGGGAUGACGUCAAGUCAUCAUGCCCCUUAUGUCCAGGGCUUCACACAUGCUACAAUGGCCGGUACAAAGGGCUGCGAUGCCGUAAGGUGGAGCGAAUCCUUUCAAAGCCGGUCUCAGUUCGGAUCGGGGUCUGCAACUCGACCCCGUGAAGUCGGAGUCGCUAGUAAUCGCAGAUCAGCAACGCUGCGGUGAAUACGUUCCCGGGCCU